rnacentral:tRNA from 1 species
UAGGGUAUGACGUAAAGGUAUCGUAUUUGCCUUGGACGCAAAAAACUGUAGGUUCGAACCCUACUACCCUAA